rnacentral:rRNA from 1 species
GACGAACCGUCCAAACGUUAUUCGGAAUUAUUGGGCUUAAAGGGCGCGUAGGCGGCUUGGUCAGUCCCGUGUGAAAUCCCUCGGCUCAACUGAGGAGCUGCACGGGAAACUGCCUGGCUUGAGUUCGGGAGAGGGAAGCGGAAUUCCGGGUGUAGCGGUGAAAUGCGUAGAUAUCUGGAGGAACACCGGUGGCGAAGGCGGCUUUCUGGACAGAUACCGACGCUGAGGCACGAAAGCUAGGGGAGCAAACAGG